GGCGAUGAGGUUGAGUGAAGGUCGAGGGGGUGGUGCGGGUUGGUUUGCACGCGCGGGUUGCUCGACAAUGAAAGGUGUCAGGGGGGAAACAGGGAAGGAAAGGGAGAAGGGCUCAGGAUGGUUGCGACUGGUGGGACGCGAAGGCUAGGGAAAGGGACCGUGGUUCGAGGUUGAGGGUGUUGCGAUGUGGGAAAAAGAGAGAAAAGAUGGGAGGUGUGGAGGAAGAAGAGAUGGGCACAGGGGGUAGCGAUCUGAAAGAGGGGCAAGGGAGAAAUGAGGAGCUAGGGUGUGGGGGCGUGGGUGGUGGUGCGUGAGGUGGUUGAUUUGGUGAGGGAGUGGGUCGACGACGACGAUGGGGUUCUGGAAGGGAGCGCGGCAGGACUGGCAGAGGGAGGUUCAGCGGCAGUUAUGGGGUUGGGGAGAUUUAGAGAAGGGGAAAGUAAAAAAAAAUUAGGGUUUG
rnacentral:lncRNA from 1 species